rnacentral:ncRNA from 1 species
CGGCCUGAGGUCGGACGAGGCUACCCGCUGAAUUUAAGCAUAUUACUAAGCGGAGGAAAAGAAACUAACGAGGAUUCCCUCAGUAACGGCGAGUGAAGCGGGACGAGCCCAGCGCCGAAUCCGGCCGCUUAUGGAGCGGACGGAAUUG